AAACAAAGUGCUUUUAUCUUAGGUUUUUACUUCUCGAUUUUAAGCAGGAGACAACAGUUAUAUACAUGUUAUGAUUGAAAAUUCAUAACAUAUGUACAACUGGCUAACGGAAGAGGUCUUUAAUGAUAAAUGUAAAUAACAUUACUGGGAUGGAGAGUUGUCUCAUUGGCACUCAUACCACAUCUUCUUAUAUCAUUUCACCUGUAAUUUACCUGUUAUUUACCUGUAAAAAAAUCGGCGCAAAUGAAAAAAAAAAAUUGGCGCAAAUGAAAGAAAAAAUCGGCGCAAAUGAAAUGCAGAUCGGCGCAAAUGCAAAACACCGGAA
rnacentral:lncRNA from 1 species